AUCACGCUGGUGGUCUUCACCCACCUGAAGAGAGGUGGAGCUCCUGCUAACUUCUCCUGCCGAUUCGACUCAAGCGUCGGAGUGCUGGGAGGACUAGGGUACAAAUACCCAGAAUGCACCUGCCUGCUGCCUCCUGUGAUUGCAGGCCUGCGUGUGAGCGUCACCGUGAGCCUGGGGGAAGUGGAUGUGACUGAAGAACUGAACCUCCUCAACUGCUCUGGGAUCACCGGAGCUCCCACUCCCCUACUGUGUAGCCAGUGCCUCGCUGCCGGGUGUGGGUGGAGCAACGGGGCCUGUACGUGGACACGCAGCGGAGCUCUGAAUGUAACGCUCCGUCCAUCUGAGCACCACCCAAUGUCCCUCUCUCCUCCAGACCAUCUCUCCUUCCAUCCCUUCAAUCAUCUUCUUCUCCUACAUCUAUCUAUCAGUCCCUCCUCCAUCUAUCCAUAUCUACCCUCCCACCAUCAUCAAUCAAUCCAUCAUCCAUCAUCAAUCCAUCACCCUCCCUUCCACCCCCUCUACCCCCAUCCUAGAACCAUCCCUCUCCCUUCUUCAUCC
ensembl:lncRNA